rnacentral:lncRNA from 1 species
UAGAAGAAGGUGUCUGAGAAGGACAAUUGUCUAGAGAGGAGGUAUCGUCCAUCAAGAGGUACGGCAGCAGUUUUGGUAAGAAGAAAGAAGCAUAAAGUAAUGCAGUUUCGAAUGGGAGGCAAAGGAGGCCUCAGAUCAAAAGAAGUCAACCACCCUGUCAACAUCAUCAUCAAGUUUCUUCAGUAAUUCCUGUAUGUUCAGCAAAUCAAUCAACACCAGUUCAACAACAACAACGUCAACAACA